rnacentral:rRNA from 1 species
GCUUAACACAUGCAAGUCGAGGGGCAUCAGGAAGAAAGCUUGCUUUCUUUGCUGGCGACCGGCGCACGGGUGAGUAACACGUAUCCAACCUGCCCUUUACUCGGGGAUAGCCUUUCGAAAGAAAGAUUAAUACCCGAUGGCAUAAUGAUUCCGCAUGGUUUCAUUAUUAAAGGAUUCCGGUAAAGGAUGGGGAUGCGUUCCAUUAGGUUGUUGGUGAGGUAACGGCUCACCAAGCCUUCGAUGGAUAGGGGUUCUGAGAGGAAGGUCCCCCACAUUGGAACUGAGACACGGUCCAAACUCCUACGGGAGGCAACAGUGAGGAAUAUUGGUCAAUGGGCGCUAGCCUGAACCAGCCAAGUAGCGUGAAGGAUGAAGGCUCUAUGGGUCGUAAACUUCUUUUAUAUAAGAAUAAAGUGCAGUAUGUAUACUGUUUUGUAUGUAUUAUAUGAAUAAGGAUCGGCUAACUCCGUGCCAGCAGCCGCGGUAAUACGGAGGAUUCGAGCGUUAUCCGGAUUUAUUGGGUUUAAAGGGAGCGUAGGUGGACUGGUAAGUCAGUUGUGAAAGUUUGCGGCUCAACCGUAAAAUUGCAGUUGAUACUGUCAGUCUUGAGUACAGUAGAGGUGGGCGGAAUUUGUGGUGUAGCGGUGAAAUGCUUAGAUAUCACGAAGAACUCCGAUUGCGAAGGCAGCUCACUGGACUGCAACUGACACUGAUGCUCGAAAGUGUGGGUAUCAAACAGGAUUAGAUACCCUGGUAGUCCACACAGUAAACGAUGAAUACUCGCUGUUUGCGAUAUACAGUAAGCGGCCAAGCGAAAGCAUUAAGUAUUCCACCUGGGGAGUACGCCGGCAACGGUGAAACUCAAAGGAAUUGACGGGGGCCCGCACAAGCGGAGGAACAUGUGGUUUAAUUCGAUGAUACGCGAGGAACCUUACCCGGGCUUAAGUUGCAGUGGAAUGAUGUGGAAACAUGUCAGUGAGCAAUCACCGCUGUGAAGGUGCUGCAUGGUUGUCGUCAGCUCGUGCCGUGAGGUGUCGGCUUAAGUGCCAUAACGAGCGCAACCCUUAUCUUUAGUUACUAACAGGUUAUGCUGAGGACUCUAGAGAGACUGCCGUCGUAAGAUGUGAGGAAGGUGGGGAUGACGUCAAAUCAGCACGGCCCUUACGUCCGGGGCUACACACGUGUUACAAUGGGGGGUACAGAAGGCAGCUAGCGGGUGACCGUAUGCUAAUCCCAAAAGCCUCUCUCAGUUCGGAUCGAAGUCUGCAACCCGACUUCGUGAAGCUGGAUUCGCUAGUAAUCGCGCAUCAGCCACGGCGCGGUGAAUACGUUCCCGGGCCUUGUACACACCGCCCGUCAAGCCAGGGGAGCCGGGGGUACCUGAAGUACGUAACCGCAAGGAUCGUCCUAGGGUAAAACUGGUGACUGGGGCUAAGUCG